UACGUAGGGGGCAAGCGUUGUCCGGAAUCACUGGGCGUAAAGCGCACGUAGGCGGCUUUCUAAGUCAGGGGUGAAAUCCUGGAGCUCAACUCCAGAACUGCCUUUGAUACUGGAGAGCUAGAGUCCGGAAGAGGUGAGUGGAACUGCGAGUGUAGAGGUGAAAUUCGUAGAUAUUCGCAAGAACACCAGUGGCGAAGGCGGCUCACUGGUCCGGUACUGACGCUGAGGUGCGAAAGCGUGGGGAGCAAACAGG
rnacentral:rRNA from 1 species